rnacentral:rRNA from 1 species
AUUGAACGCUGGCGGCAUGCCUAACACAUGCAAGUCGAACGAGUGGCGGACGGGUGAGUAAUGUCUUUGAACCUGCCUGAUGGAGGGGGAUACCUACUGGAAACUGUUGCUACUACCGCAUACCAUCGUAUGUGCCCAGAUGGGAUUAGCGAGUAGGUGGGGUAAAGGAUCACCAAGGCCACUAUCCAUAGCUGGUCUGAGAGGAUGACCAGCCACACUGGAACUGAGACACGGGCCAGACUCCUACGGGAGGCAGCAGUGGGGAAUAUUGCACAAUGGGGGAAAGCCUGAUGCAGCCAGGCCGAGUGUAUGAAGAAGGCCUUCGGGUUGUAAAGUACUUUCAGCGGGGAGGCGUUACCAGCAGAAGAAGCACCGGCUAACUCCGUGCCAGCAGCCGCGGUAAUAC